UGGGGAAUUUUGCACAAUGGAGGAAACUCUGAUGCAGCGACGCCGCGUGAGUGAUGAAGAUCUUCGGAUUGUAAAACUCUGUCCUUAGUGAAGAUAAUGACAGUAACUAAGAAGCAAGCCCUGGCUAAAUACGUGCCAGCAGCCGCGGUAAUACGUAUGGGGCAAGCGUUGUCCUGAAUUAUUGGGCGUAAAGGGUACGUAGGCGGUUUAAUAAGUACUAAUUAAAAGGCUAUGGCUCAACCAUAGUAUGGUUAGGAAACUGUUGACCUUGAGUAGAUGAGGGGAGAGUGGAAUUCCAGGUGUAGCGGUGAAAUGCGUAGAUAUAUGAAGGAACACCAAUGGCGAAGGCAACUUUCUGGAAUCAAACUGACGCUGAGGUACGAAGGCGUGGGGAGCAAACAGG
rnacentral:rRNA from 1 species